rnacentral:rRNA from 1 species
GACGGCGGAUGCAAGCGUUAUCCGGAAUUAUUGGGCGUAAAGCGUCCGCAGGUGGCGAUUCAAGUCUGCUGUCAAAGGUCGGGGCUUAACCCCGGGAAGGCAGUGGAAACUGAAUAGCUAGAGUGCGGUAGGGGCAGAGGGAAUUCCCGGUGUAGCGGUGAAAUGCGUAGAGAUCGGGAAGAACACCAGUGGCGAAAGCGCUCUGCUGGGCCUGCACUGACACUGAGGGACGAAAGCUAUGAGAGCGAAAGGG